UACAGAGGUCUCAAGCGUUGUUCGGACUCAUUGGGCGUAAAGGGUGCGUAGGCGGCGUGGUAAGUCGGGUGUGAAAUCUCGGAGCUUAACUCCGAAACUGCAUUCGAUACUGCCGUGCUUGAGGACUGGAGAGGAGACUGGAAUUUACGGUGUAGCGGUGAAAUGCGUAGAUAUCGUAAGGAACACCAGUGGCGAAAGCGGCUUCCUGGUCCAGCACCGACGUUCAGGCACGAAAGCGUGGGGAGCAAACAGG
rnacentral:rRNA from 1 species